rnacentral:lncRNA from 1 species
UAUUACAUCAAGUGUCUUGUUAGGCUUUUUAUCUCUUAGGAGUAUCUAUUCCCCUUACCCUUCGGGGUGUCUGUUUUACCCUCUCUUAUUUGAUCUAGAAAGACGUAAGAAGACCGCUCCUAGUGGAUGACGACGUACCCUCUAAUGAGUAGUAACUCGAAUAUCUAUAGGGGUCAUCCGUGGCUAAGUAAUGUCGUGACUAU